CAGACUUUGUCAUACAGUUCCUCUGGAAGUGGUGAACCUCGGUGGGUAGUCAAGUGUGUACAGUGUGGCCACUCGUGAGAUGAACGCAGUGUUGGAUAACUUGUGGUUUUUAGGUGGGAAAGGAUAUGAUCCAGCAAGUGGGGACUUCUCUGACUUUCAGGCAUGGCUGCAGUGCUACUAUGUGGACGGGAUGAAAACACUCCGGGAUCAUAAUGGGAGAACGAUAUGGUUCAGAGGGGAUCCAGGGCCCAUGGCACCAAAAGAUUCAAAGUCACCCAAGGCAAAAAAAGUGGGCAAAGAAAGACGAUGACCAUGAUUACAUAAACAAGAAAAAGGGGGCCAGAGCAAGGAAAACAAGGAUCAAACAGGAAGGUGA